rnacentral:lncRNA from 1 species
CUGAGAAGUGCCUUAUAUGUCUGAUUUCUCAACUUCACCCUGCAGUAAACUUUUGCAAUCUGGAGGCUAGAGACCUCUUUUGUAAAUGUUGUCUGCCCGAACUGCGUUGGCACCGAGGAGGCCUUAGCAGAUAAAGUGGAGGAACAUAUGGCUCCCAUCUGAAUACAAAUUGGUGGACAUAACGUGGUAAUUCAGCUGAGAUGUCCUCUAUAUUGUAAACUGAAAGAGUAUGAUUAGAGGUGUUUAUAAACGGCGUCUGAUUUUCCCCCACACACCCCCUUCCCCACCCCCUUCCACUGUAGUUUUAUCGGCCUGAAUCAUAGCCAUCCAGCGUCCCAGUCUCACUGCAUUAUUUGUUAAAAUGGCCAGCAUGAGGAAUUAUUAAUUAAAGCUAACAAAUCACCCUGAAGAGCUGUGCCCUGGCAUGGCUGAAGGUUGAUUGGUGAAAGUGUUCUCCUUUGGAGAAAAGACUUUUUGUGCUCGUGACGCAGUCAGGGACGGAUUAUUGAAUAUGCAAGUUAGAAGAAAAAUCACAGGACAAGCAAAUUGAGUAUUUACUGGCAAAUAAUUGCUCUCUUAAGCUGUGGCUCUCUUCCUAAAUUCUUAACAUUCCCGAGGGUUAGAAAGAAACACAGAAAAAUGCAUCGGUACAGAGUACAUUUCAAAAAAAAUACAUAGACUGAUGUUUCAGACUUGUGCAGAAUGUUUCGCCAUCACUAACUGGAUAUUCAUCACAACUUUGCUGUCGGCAGUGGCUGACACUUUUCCUCCAUGCUUUGAGAGGAAGAGAAUUGGCUGGAAUAAAACCUUGCCUUCCACAUGGUCGACUUGAAAUACAGCAUUGAAAAGGACUCAGCUUCCUCUCAAAUAUAUGGAGGAUUGGACUCCCAGGCACAACCCAAUAGAAACAAAGGGCCUAAAGCAGCAUUUUACAACCUUGGCCCUGUUGACAUUUGGAGCCAGAUAAAUCUUUGUUGCUCAGGACCGUCCUGUACAUGGUAAGUUGUAUAGCAGCAUCUCUGACCUCUACCCAUUAAAUGCAACUUCUUCAGUCUUGACAACCCAAAAUGUCUCUAGACACUUCUACAUGUCCCC